GCCAACAUAGCUCAGCUGGUAGAGCAGCUGAUUUGUAAUCAGCUGGUCGGGGGUUCGAGUCCCUCUGUUGGCU
rnacentral:tRNA from 1 species